UACGUAGGUGGCAAGCGUUGUCCGGAAUUACUGGGCGUAAAGCGAACGCAGGCGGAUGGUUAAGUAAGAAGUGAAAGGUCGGAGCUCAACUCCAACAUGGCUUCUUAUACUGGCCGUCUUGAGUCCCGGAGAGGAAAGCGGAACUGCACGUGUAGCGGUGAAAUGCGUUGAUAUGUGCAGGAACACCAAUGGCGAAGGCAGCUUUCUGGACGAGGACUGACGCUCAUGCUCGAAAGCCAAGGGAGCGAACAGG
rnacentral:rRNA from 1 species